rnacentral:rRNA from 1 species
GACGAACGCUGGCGGCGUGCUUAACACAUGCAAGUCGAACGAAGAGCGAUGGAAGCUUGCUUCUAUCAAUCUUAGUGGCGAACGGGUGAGUAACGCGUAAUCAACCUGCCCUUCAGAGGGGGACAACAGUUGGAAACGACUGCUAAUACCGCAUACGAUCUAAUCUCGGCAUCGAGGAAAGAUGAAAGGUGGCCUCUAUUUAUAAGCUAUCACUGAAGGAGGGGAUUGCGUCUGAUUAGCUAGUUGGAGGGGUAACGGCCCACCAAGGCGAGGAUCAGUAGCCGGUCUGAGAGGAUGAACGGCCACAUUGGGACUGAGACACGGCCCAGACUCCUACGGGAGGCCGCAGUGGGGAAUCUUCCGCAAUGGACGAAAGUCUGACGGAGCAACGCCGCGUGAGUGAUGACGGCCUUCGGGUUGUAAAGCUCUGUUAAUCGGGACGAAAGGCCUUCUUGCGAACAGUUAGAAGGAUUGACGGUACCGGAAUAGAAAGCCACGGCUAACUACGUG